rnacentral:rRNA from 1 species
GACGAACCGUGCGAACGUUGUUCGGAUUCACUGGGCUUAAAGGGCGCGUAGGCGGGCGGUCAAGUCGGGGGUGAAAUCUUUCCGCUUAACGGGAAACGUGCCUCCGAUACUGAUCGCCUCGAGGGAGGUAGGGGCAUGUGGAACUUCCGGUGGAGCGGUGAAAUGCGUAGAUAUCAGGAGGAACACCGAUGGCGAAGGCAGGUCUCUGGGCUGACACUGACGCUCAUGCACGAAAGCGUGGGGAGCAAACAGG